rnacentral:lncRNA from 10 species
CUCAGGACCCCAAAGCAGGACCACAGGUGGAUCCUAAAUUCAAUGCCAAGUGCCUGAGCUGCACAGAGGAGAGAAACACAGGGAGAAGAGGAGAAGGCCAUGGGGAGAUGGAGGCAGAGAAGGGAGCCAUGCAGCCACAAGCCCAGGAAUGCCUGCAGCCACAAGAAGACAGAAGAGGCUGGGAACAGACCCUCCCCUAGAGCCUCAGGAGAGAGAACAGUCCUGUUGACACCUUGAUCUUGGGCUUCCGUCCUCCAGAACUAUGAGAUAAUAGAGGUCUGUUGUUUUGAGCCAGGAACUGGGUCUUCUUUACAUUUUAGCCUACACUCUUCAUCCUUCCCUGUCAUUCAGUCCUGUUCAGGAGACGGCAAAAAGCUUUCUGAUGUUUUUAUUUGUGACUCUCCCUCAAAGCUAAUUAACACAAGAGUGAACACUGAAAUAACUGAAGUUUGAACUGAGUAGCCGAAGAAAUGAAAUACAUUGUGAGAAGCCUCAGUUUCAAAUGCCAGCAGCCCCACCAGAGGACUUGGCUGAUGACAGGCAUGCCUGAAGUUCGGUGAGAUUUAUUAUACCAUUCAGGAAUGGCCCAUUUCACCAUCCCCAUGGGAACUCUUAACACUUUUGAAGUCGGGGGAGGCAUAAAAAACGUUAGAAGCUCAGAGAUGGGGGAAAGCUGGUAUUCUUGUCACACAUGGUUGAGUCAGGAGACACCGCCCAAGGUUCCUAGGACAAGAAAUCAAGAUUUAAUAACUUUAUUUAAACACAUAACUCAAAAUUAUCUGUAGCAGUAAAACACUUAGAGGACUAUAGGGAAAAAUUGAUUAUGUUUUUCAGAAAGGAGUCACUAGAUACUAUCAAGGGUUACUAAACAAGAAACAGAAGCCUAGGCUUAUUAUUCCACAUUACAGCAGUAACUUUCAAGAGGACUGAAAACUGAAAUUAUUAAAAAAUGGUCAACCCUGGGAAGUGGCACUGAGGAAGGGGAAGGGUUUGUGAAAGUCGUCAAAAUCAAAAUGGAGUCACUUGUGUUAAACAAAACAAAACACCCUGACAGACAGAACUGGGAAGGCAAUGAAGAGAGGGUUCUUACACUUUGUAUGCCUGAUAACAAAACUCUCACAAAAGAUUCUGCAGAAACCACAACCUUGCACAAAGGCCAUUGCAACUUACACAGAAAAUACUUCUGCGGGGACAUCUGUUUAGCAGCUGCCUGUCCAACCUUGGACAGACGUCAGCCUUGUGAUUGAUCCUUGUAGCCAAGGAUAAUCAUUUGAAAGCAAGUGUGUCAUCCUCUUAAUCUUUCCUUUAAAAACCUGUCUUCCUUUACCUCCCUGAAUAUGCAUAUAGUUUACCACGGUGCACGUAUUCCCACUGCAAUGCCCUAGUCCUGAG